rnacentral:rRNA from 1 species
AGCGAACGCUGGCGGCAGGCUUAACACAUGCAAGUCGAACGGGCAUAGCAAUAUGUCAGUGGCAGACGGGUGAGUAACGCGUGGGAACGUACCUUUUGGUUCGGAACAACACAGGGAAACUUGUGCUAAUACCGGAUAAGCCCUUACGGGGAAAGAUUUAUCGCCGUAAGAUCGGCCCGCGUCUGAUUAGCUAGUUGGUAGGGUAAUGGCCUACCAAGGCGACGAUCAGUAGCUGGUCUGAGAGGAUGAUCAGCCACAUUGGGACUGAGACACGGCCCAAACUCCUACGGGAGGCAGCAGUGGGGAAUAUUGGACAAUGGGCGAAAGCCUGAUCCCGCCAUGCCGCGUAAGUGAUGAAGGCCCUAGGGUUGUAAAGCUCUUUUGUGCGGGAAGAUAAUGACGGUACCGCAAGAAUAAGCCCCGGCUAACUUCGUG